rnacentral:rRNA from 1 species
GACGGAGGGGGCGAGUGUUAUUCAUCUUGACUGGGCGUAAAGGGCACGUAGGCGGGACACUACGUCAAUGGUAAAAAAACUCAUGGCUGAGCUGUGGACAUUCCAUUGAUACGGGUGCCCUUAGAGUGCAAGGGGGGAUAGUGGAAUUUCUAGUGUAGAGAUGAAAUUCGGACAGAUUAGAAGGACCUCCGGACGCGAAAGCGACUAUCUACAUUGUUGACUGACGCUGUAGUGCGAAGGCAUGGGCAUCAAACAGG